rnacentral:ncRNA from 2 species
AUGGGCCUGCGCGACUGGCGAGAAAAGAUGGAUCACCAUCGGGAAGCGUAGAGGCCGCACCGCCGUUCGCCUGGGCAUCUUGA